rnacentral:rRNA from 1 species
UCCUACGGGAGGCAGCAGUGGGGAAUAUUGCACAAUGGGGGAAACCCUGAUGCAGCCAUGCCGCGUGUGUGAAGAAGGCCUUCGGGUUGUAAAGCACUUUCAGCAGGGAGGAAAGGUUGAGUCUUAAUACGGGUCAUCUGUGACGUUACCUACAGAAGAAGGACCGGCUAACUCCGUGCCAGCAGCCGCGGUAAUACGGAGGGUCCGAGCGUUAAUCGGAAUUACUGGGCGUAAAGCGUGCGCAGGCGGUUUGUUAAGCGAGAUGUGAAAGCCCUGGGCUCAACCUGGGAAUAGCAUUUCGAACUGGCGAACUAGAGUCUUGUAGAGGGGGGUAGAAUUCCAGGUGUAGCGGUGAAAUGCGUAGAGAUCUGGAGGAAUACCGGUGGCGAAGGCGGCCCCCUGGACAAAGACUGACGCUCAUGCACGAAAGCGUGGGGAGCAAACAGGAUUAGAUACCCUGGUAGUCCACGCCGUAAAC